rnacentral:rRNA from 1 species
UACGUAGGGUGCGAGCGUUGUCCGGAAUUAUUGGGCGUAAAGAGCUCGUAGGCGGCUUGUCGCGUCGGAUGUGAAAGCCCGGGGCUUAACCCCGGGUCUGCAUUCGAUACGGGCAGGCUAGAGUUCGGUAGGGGAGACUGGAAUUCCUGGUGUAGCGGUGAAAUGCGCAGAUAUCAGGAGGAACACCGGUGGCGAAGGCGGGUCUCUGGGCCGAUACUGACGCUGAGGAGCGAAAGCGUGGGGAGCGAACAGG